rnacentral:rRNA from 1 species
UACAGAGGUCUCAAGCGUUGUUCGGAUUCAUUGGGCGUAAAGGGUGCGUAGGCGGCGCGACAAGUUGGGUGUGAAAUCCCUCGGCUCAACCGAGGAACUGCGCCCAAAACUGUCGUGCUCGAGGGAGACAGAGGUGAGCGGAACUUAGGGUGGAGCGGUGAAAUGCGUUGAUAUCCUAAGGAACACCGGUGGCGAAAGCGGCUCACUGGGUCUCUUCUGACGCUGAGGCACGAAAGCUAGGGUAGCGAACGGG